rnacentral:rRNA from 1 species
AAUUCGAAGCAACGCGCAGAACCUUACCAGCCCUUGACAUACCGGUCGCGGACACAGAGAUGUGUCUUUCAGUUCGGCUGGACCGGAUACAGGUGCUGCAUGGCUGUCGUCAGCUCGUGUCGUGAGAUGUUGGGUUAAGUCCCGCAACGAGCGCAACCCUCGCCCUUAGUUGCCAGCAUUUAGUUGGGCACUCUAAGGGGACUGCCGGUGAUAAGCCGAGAGGAAGGUGGGGAUGACGUCAAGGUCCUCAUGGCCCUUACGGGCUGGGCUACACACGUGCUACAAUGGUGGUGACAGUGGGCAGCGAGCACGCGAGUGUGAGCUAAUCUCCAAAAGCCAUCUCAGUUCGGAUUGCACUCUGCAACUCGAGUGCAUGAAGUUGGAAUCGCUAGUAAUCGCGGAUCAGCAUGCCGCGGUGGAUACGUUCCCGGGCCUU